rnacentral:rRNA from 1 species
GCGCACCAGUCGAGAAAACUCCGCAAUGCUCGAAAGAGUGACGGGGGGAUUCCAAGUGCCUACGCUUAGCGUAGGCUGUUCAGAUGCCUAAAAAGCAUCUGGAGUAAGGGCUGGGUAAGACGGGUGCCAUCUGCAGUGGUAAUGAAAAACUUGCUACUGCAAGGCAUAAGCCGCCGCGGUAAUACCCGCAGCCCGAGUGGUAGUCGCUUUUAUUGGGCCUAAAGCGUCCGUAGCCGGUCUGGUAAAUGCCUGGGGUAAAUCGUGGGGCCUAACCUCACGAAUUCCGGGUAGACUGCCAGACUUGGGACCGGUUGAGGGAGAGGGUACUCCAGGGGCAGGGGUGAAAUCCUGUAAUCCUUGGAGGACCACCGGUGGCGAAAGCGCUCUCCUAGGACGGUCGACGGUGAGGGACGAAAGCCAGGGGAGCAAACCGGAUUAGAUACCCGCGUAGU